CAGGAUGCCCAGUUAAAUUUGAAUUUCAGAAAACAGUGAAUAUUUUUAAUGUAAGUAUGUCCCACGCAAUAUUUGGGACAUACUUAAACUAAAAAAUGUAUUCACCUUCUGUCUGGCAAUCCUAUGU
rnacentral:miRNA from 1 species